rnacentral:rRNA from 1 species
GUACCGCCUGCCCUGUGACCAUGGUUUAACGGCCGCGGUAUUUUGACCGUGCAAAGGUAGCGCAAUCACUUGUCUUUUAAAUGAAGACCUGUAUGAAUGGCAUGACGAGGGCUUAACUGUCUCCUUUCUCCAGUCAAUGAAAUUGAUCUCCCGUGCGAAGGCGGGAUAACCCAUAAGACGAGAAGACCCUAUGGAGCUUUAGACGCAAGAAUAGACCAUGUUAAGCACUCCCAAAUAAAUGAUAAAACUGAUUGGACCCUAUUUUAAUGUCUUUGGUUGGGGCGACCGCGGGGAAAUCAAAAACCCCCACGUGGACCGAGAACACAGUAUUCUCACAAACAAGAGCCACAGCUCUAAGCAACAGAAUUUCUGACCAUCAAGAUCCGGCACAAGCCGAUCAACGGACCGAGUUACCCUAGGGAUAACAGCGCAAUCCCCUUUUAGAGCCCAUAUCGACAAGGGGGUUUACGACCUCGAUGUUGGAUCAGGACAUCCUAAUGGUGCAGCCGCUAUUAAGGG